GACGAACGCUGGCGGCGUGCCUAAUACAUGCAAGUCGAACGCAGUGGGGACGGGUGAGUAACACGUGGGUAACCUCCCAUCAGAGGGGAUAACACUUGGAAACAGGUGCUAAACCGAUACUGAUGGAUGGACCCGCGGUGCAUUAGCUAGUUGGUGAGGUAACGGCUCACCAAGGCCACGAUGCAUAGCCGGCCUGAGAGGGGGAUCGGCCACACUGGGACUGAGACACGGGCCAGAAUCCGACGGGAGGCAGCAGUAGGGAAUCUUGGGGAAUGGACGAAAGGCUGAACGAGCAAAGCCGCGUGGUGGAAGAAGGUUUUCGGAGCGUAAAACUCUUUUGGUAGAGAAGCGGUAACUAAACAGAAAGCCACGGCUAACUACGUGCCAGCCGCCGCGGUAAUAC
rnacentral:rRNA from 1 species